AUGUGAUCGUCUCUCGCAUAUCAAUAAGCGGAGGAAAAGAAAAUAACAAUGAUUUCCCUAGUAACGGCGAGUGAAGCGGGAAGAGCUCAAAUUUGAAAUCUUAAAGGGUUUCCCUUUACGAAUUGUAGUUUAAAGAAGUGUUUUCUGUUGAGGUUUUGGUAAAAGUUCUUUGGAAUAGGACAUCAUAGAGGGUGAGAAUCCCGUAUUUGACCUUUACUUUCAACUUUGUGAUACACUUUCAAAGAGUCGGAUUGUUUGGGAAUGCAGUCCAAAAUGGGUGGUAAAUUUCAUCUAAAGCUAAAUAUUGGCGAGAGACCGAUAGCGAACAAGUACCGUGAGGGAAAGAUGAAAAGAACUUUGAAAAGAGAGUUAAACAGGUACGUGAAAUUGUCAAAAGGGAAGCGUUUGACACCAGUGUUGUUUUUCUGAAAAUCAAUUAAAGAACUGUUUAUGCUAAGUUGUUUAGACUUUAUCAGCUAUCUGCUUAGUUUUGAGCUUUUCUUUAAUGCACUUUUCAGUUAACAAGUCAACAUCAAUUUCUUUUGCUGUAAAAAAGCUUGAGGAAGGUGGCUUGAGAUUCGUCUUAAGUGUUUAUAGCCUCUUGCCUAUGCAGUCGGAGAGAUUGAGGUCUGCAGCGUAGAUCCUUCGGGGCUAAAUGCAUUUGUGCUAAGUUAUAGCAUUUUAUAGACAACUUGUUGACUAUGAUUUGUCUUGUAGCUUACUCGCUUAUGUUAUUUUACCUACGCUUAGGAUGUUGAAGAUAUGCGCGACACG
rnacentral:rRNA from 1 species